rnacentral:rRNA from 1 species
GAUGAACGCUAGCUAUAGGCUUAACACAUGCAAGUCGAGGGGAAACGGCAUUAUGUGCUUGCACAUUUUGGACGUCGACCGGCGCACGGGUGAGUAUCGCGUAUCCAACCUGCCCUUUACUUGGGGAUACCCCGUUGAAAGACGGCCUAAUACCCGAUGUAAUUCAUUGAUGGCAUCAGAUAUGAAUAAAAGAUUUAUCGGUAAAGGAUGGGGAUGCGUCUGAUUAGCUUGUUGGUGAGGUAACGGCUCACCAAGGCGACGAUCAGUAGGGGUUCUGAGAGGAAGGUCCCCCACAUUGGAACUGAGACACGGUCCAAACUCCUACGGGAGGCAGCGGUGAGGAAUAUUGGUCAAUGGGCGCAAGCCUGAACCAGCCAAGUAGCGUGCAGGAAGACGGCCCUAUGGGUUGUAAACUGCUUUUGUACGAGAAUAAUUUGAUGCACGAGUGCGUUAUUGCAUGUAUCGUAUGAAUAAGGACCGGCUAAUUCCGUG